UGCCAAGUAUGGGUCAUAUAGCUGCAUGGAUUUGGAAUCUAACAACAUUUUAGACACACAACUUGUUCAGUCCAAUGAAGUGACCAACUCUGGAGCAAUGGAACUUGAGGGAUUAAAAAGAUGUCUGGCAAAGUUUGAUGAAAGUGGGAUGAAGGUGAAGUCAAUGACCACAGACAGACAUGCUCAAAUCAAAUCCUACAUGUCAAAACAAAGACCAAAAAUCGAGCACUACUUUGAUGUAUGGCAUGUAGCAAAAGGUAUAGAUUGUAAUAACAAACCAACCUUUUACACAUUUCAUCAAUAAUCAAAAUCCAACAGGAAUUAAAAAGAACAUUUGGGCAGCAUCAAAAAAAAGUGGUUGCAAAUUAUUGUCAGAUUGGGCCCAAUCAAUUUCCAACCAUGUAUACUGGUGUGCUGCUUCCAGCAAUGGUGAUGAAGAACUUGUCAAGGCAAAGUGGUUGUCAGUUCUCAACCAUAUAUGUGACAUCCAUGAGGGACAUAGUGAUGUAUUCCCAAAAUGUGAAUAUGAUAUGUUAGAGCCUAGAAUGUGGAUAAAAAAAGGUUCAAAAGCUUAUGUUGAGCUGUCUUCGAUUGUUGAGUCCAAGUAUCUCAUGACAGAUAAUGGAAAACUCAGUUAUCAAAAGCAGACUUCAUCCAUCAAAGGUUUCCACCGAGUGGUAAUUCUUUUUGC